CCUACGGGGUGCAGCAGGCGCGAAACCUUUACACUGCACGCAAGUGCGAUAAGGGGAUCCUUAGUGCUCAUGCAUUGCAUGGGCUUUUGCCAAGAGUAAAUAUCUUGGCGAAUAAGUGGUGGGAAAGACUGGUGCCGGCCGCCGCGGUAACACCAGCGCCACGAGUGGCAAUCAGCUUUAUUGGGCCUAAAGCGUUCGUAGCCGGUCAAAUAAAUUCCAGGUGAAAUCGUUCUGCCUAACAGGACGGCGUGCUUGGAAGACUGUUUGACUUGGGACCGGGAGGUGUCAGGGGUAUUCCUGGGGGAGCGGUAAAAUGCUAUAAUCCCUGGAGGACCACCUGUGGCGAAGGCGUCUGACAAGAACGGAUCCGACGGUGAGGGACGAAAGCUAGGGGAGCAAAUCGGAUUAGAUACCCGAGUAGUCCUAGCUGUAAACGCUGCGAGCUAGAUGUUGCGUCUUCUUCGGAAUAUGCAGUGUCGUAGCGAAGGUGUUAAGCUCGCCGCCUGGGGAGUACGGUCGCAAGGCUGAAACUUAAAGGAAUUGGCGGGGAAGCACUACAAGGGGUGCGGCGUGCGGUUUAAUUGUAUUCAACGCCGGGAAUCUUACCAGGAGCGCCGGCAGGAUGAAGGUCAGAUUAGAUGUCUUACCUGACGAGCCGAGAGGAAGUGCAUGGCC
rnacentral:rRNA from 1 species